CUUGUCCUUGAAUUCUUCGUCGAUAUUCACGUGGAUCAGACGUAAGUCCACGUCAACGCUUUAGUAUUAUCGUAGCCAGUGGCCACAGGCCUGCAAAACCACGGGCAUUAAUAGAGCUUGGCAAAUCCGCAAAGCCAAAGAAGCAACACCAAGAAACUAAACGAUACAAUACAUACUCAUCAAUGAGCUUUAAGGCCCUGAUUCUGGUUGUCUUUGCGCUUGCAAUAGCACAUGCAGAUUCCAACUCUGAAGUGGAUGCUCUUCAUGCUUGGAAGAUCACAUUGGCAGAUCCAAAUAAUGUCCUUCAAAGCUGGGAUCCAACACUUGUAAAUCCAUGCACCUGGUUCCAUAUCACCUGCAACAGUGACAACAGUGUUACAAGAGUGGACCUUGGCGUUGCUGGGCUUUCAGGACCUCUUGUACCCCAGCUGGGAAUCUUGGCCAAUCUUCAGUAUCUGGAAGUGUACGGUAAUAAGAUCAGUGGAUCUAUUCCACAAGAGUUGGGGAACCUGACAAAGCUGGUAAGCUUGGACCUGUACCAUAAUCGAUUAAGCGGCUCAAUCCCAGCAACUCUUGGCAACUUGAGAUCCUUAAGAUUUUUUCUUCUGCCUAAUGGUGUGCGGUCUACAGGCGAUUGAACAGCAAUAGACUAUCCGGAAAGUUACCUGACAGUAUAAUUCAACUUAUCAACUAUGGCCACUUACAAAUUUUGGACAUAUCAAAUAAUCGUUUGGCCGGGAGAGUCCGCGCAACUAACAAAACAGGAUUGGCUAUUACCACGGUAGUUCAAGAUCCGAAAGCUCAUUAUUGAUGGUGGACAACGAUCUCAAAACAAUAAUGGCAUCCUGACUAUAAAUAAAUAUGGGAUUCAUCAGUCUUGGAAGGAAUAAAGUGCUUAGCUAGCGCUCUGUGAAAUUUAUCCUAAAUCAAGAAGAUGAGAAUAUCUAGAAGUUUUCUUUUUUAUCUAUUUUAUGUGACAGUCAAUCUAAAAUCUCAACCUUCUUUUUCUAAUUCCUUUUUUAAGCUUUUGAAUUUGAAGUAGACUUGAUAUGUUUGC